GCUCCUAGGAAUGAACUCAAGGAAAGCAGGCCCGCUGGGCGAGGAGGUGGCUCCACCAGCUGGUGCCCCUAUAGAAAGCUGAGGCGGUGGGCUCAACAGCCCGCCCGCCACUCUGAGGCCGCCAAGGCCUGCAGUGCUCCGGGCCCCACGCAUCCCGCGUGUGCGGAAAGAGAUGCAAAGCAUUGACGGUCCUGCCACCCAAACGCAGGUUUGCACCUGAGGAGGCACCUGAGAAACUGGGUGAAGCGGGAAGGACCUCAGUCAUCCCCUAAAAACUCAAAUGCACAUAUUUUUCGCAACUCUUCAAUUUGCCGAGGGGUUCCUCAUGCCCCAGGUGUAGCCGGCGUCCCCAGUUCUAGGUUGGGAUUGGCAAACCUGGGGAGCACCCCGUCUUCGCCAGCAGGCAGCUAAGUGCAGGCGGCGAAGGCCGCGGGGGGCGGGCCCGCCCGCUGCCGGCGUUGGUCGCCCGCCCGCCAGCUCGCACUCGGUCGCGUCGCGGGGUAGGCAUGGGAGUCGCACGCGCCCUUCCGGCGCCCACACCUGUUGGAGCGGCGCAGUGAGCUGCGGCCCGGGCGGGCUGCUCGGCGCGGGUUCUGUGACUCAGGAAAAUGAGAGCAAGCCUGGCUGCAGAGGGUUCACAGGGCUUUGUUCAUCUUUAGGUAUUUGCUUUAGGAAUUAGCAUGGUUUCACUGUUCAGUAUUCCUGGCCACAGAGUCCAUGGAAAACCCUUUGUUAGCCUUCCAGAUGGUGUCCGAAACUUUUAUCUCUACAGACUUGCCCACUGUUUCUUUCGACAUUACUGUUUGUAGUGGUCACAGGAAUUCAUCUGUUGUACAAUAGAGAAUGUAUGUCCUGAGGAUUAGAUUUUUUUUCUCCCAGCCCUUGUGUGCUAGAGGAGUUCAUUCUCCCAAACACGUGCCCUCUUGAGGAGAGCUGUGUUGUUGCAGUGUUGAAGACUAAGGUGCAGAACUGGGGCAGAGAAGUUUCAGUGCCCAGCCUCCAAGCAGAUGGUGGUGGUUUAUACGUUUCUGAUAAUUUGCACAGUCCCUUCGCCAUUAGAGUAUUAGUGGAUUUGUGAAGUGGCAGCAUCCCCAUUAAGUAUAAAUAUUUUUAGACCGUGGACAGCAGGAGAGUGGCUCGUAUUGAGUGAUGGAGCACGGAAUGUGUAACUCUUGUGAGUCAGACAUACAGAGUUGGAAAAGAAAUAGUUUCUGUAUUACUAAGUAUGGUGAAAAAAUACUUGCUUACCUUAAUUUUCAUUCUGCGUUGUCAUCCAGGUGAAGCGAUACAUGAGAAUACUUGGUUGAGAACUUUAUAAGAUAAUUAUGUAUGUGAGGAAUCUUUAUCCAGUAAAGGUUUUUUCCUAGAAGUGAAAUGUUAUGGACCUGAAUUUUCUUCAUCUGGAUUUAGGUAUAAUGAGGAUAAGAUUCAGAAGAUAAGAUUUGGAAAUCUUCAUUCUUUUUUUUUUUUUUUAAAGAUUUUAUUUAUUUGUUCGACAGAGAGAGAGAGAGCCAGCGAGAGAGGGAACACAAGCAGGGAGAGUGGGAGAGGAAGAAACAGGCUCCCAGCGGAGGAACCUGACGUGGGGCUCGAUCCCAUAACGCCGGGAUCACGCCCUGAGCUGAAGGCAGACGCUUAACCGCUGUGCCACCCAGGUGCCCCCUUCAUUCUUUUUUUUUAAAGGUGUGCAUAUUUCAGACAGUUCUAUAAGGAUGAGGUGAUUCAUUUGUGAGGGCAAGAGAGAAUUUCAAGUUAAUGGACUCCAUUAGUUACCUUUUCCAACAGUGAGAUUGUGAAUGUUGCUGUUAUAUAUGUUUCCAUCCUAGAAUGUUUGUAUAAGUAAACUUAAAUGGGCAUAGUGCAGGCUUGCUUAGAGUUUAUCAAAAUGGAAACAGUAAUUGUCUUCUGGGAAAUUAUUCAGGAAAUUAUCAUCAGGUGAGUUGAGAAAUUAAUGCAAAGCCACCAACCUAAUUUUAAAGCAUCACGGUUAUCACUGGGCAUCUUAUUAAUGGGAAAGGAGUCAAGGUAGGGUGUGAAUGCCUUGGGAAAGGGCCUUGGUGGGUGAGAUUUCCCCCCCUCACCCUUUUCUGAGAGCCGGCACACCCAACCAUCCUUCUACUCCAUUCUUGAAAGUCGCCCUCUGCUGGAGGCCUUUGUUUCCUUGGCAAAAACUCAGGAGGGCAAUCUUGUCUCCCAGAUAGGCAAGAGAUAAGCAAGAUAAACUUUCCUUUUCCGCUUGGCCUCCGGCCUCCUUAAUUCUGUGAGUGUAGGCUCCAAACAGUAAAUGGGGUGCAGACCCUGUUCGUGCACAACAUAGUGCUUGCCCUGGACUUUUGUGACCCUGGGAAAUUACAAAAUUAGAGAAUCCUCGGCCUGAAAAGACCAGCACUAAAAAGACUAAAGAGUUCAGGUUGCUAUUCAGAAUAGUUGCUAAACUACGCUUAACACACAUUUGGUAGAGGGGUGAGCAGUUUAUGAAGUCUGUAACCUUAAUACAGACGUCAGCUUAAACUCAUUUGGGAGCCUGAGAACAGACAACUUUAUCUCCCAAUUUACAGUCUGUUAAAAACCAUUACAUUGCACACCACAAACUAAUAUAAUUAUAUUUCAAUACAAUUUUU
ensembl:lncRNA